rnacentral:rRNA from 1 species
UACGAAGGGGGGCUAGCGUUGCUCGGAAUUACUGGGCGUAAAGGGCGCGUAGGCGGACAGUUUAGUCAGAGGUGAAAGCCCAGGGCUCAACCUUGGAAUUGCCUUUGAUACUGACUGUCUUGAGUUCGGGAGAGGUGAGUGGAAUGCCGAGUGUAGAGGUGAAAUUCGUAGAUAUUCGGCGGAACACCAGUGGCGAAGGCGACUCACUGGCCCGAUACUGACGCUGAGGCGCGAAAGCGUGGGGAGCAAACAGG